UCCUAGCCCGGGUAGUAGCGGAUACCCCGCAGCUCGCAAAAGGAGAGGUGAGGGGUGAGGAGUAUGAGCGGAUAACCGGAAAUAGC
rnacentral:misc_RNA from 1 species